CUGCACAGUCAGGACAGACAGACAGACACAGCAGCGUAUCAAACCUGCACAGCCAGGACUGAAAGACACACAGCCUCAGUAAGAUUCCUGUGCAUUUCAGAACAAAUGACUGCAAUGCAGUGGGACUGCUGUAUGCAGAGCUAAUGAACCGUCCCCACCACUCUGCAACCAGCUUGUGCAGGUAGAGCAGACAGACCCCACAAUAACAAGGCAGGCCCAGGGUACACGUCACCCUGGACACCAUUAACCCUGUGCAGCCCAGGGUACACAUCACCCUGGACACCAUUAACCCUGCGCAGCCCAGGGUACACAGUCACCCUGGACACCAUUAACCCUGCGCAGCCCAGGGUACACGUCACCCUGGACACCAUUAACCCUGCGCAGCCCAGGGUACACGUCACCCUGGACACCAUUAACCCUGCGCAGCCCAGGGUACACAGUCACCCUGGACAACAUUAACCCUGCGCAGCCCAGGGUACACAGUCACCCUGGACACCAUUAACCCUGUGCAGCCCAGGGUACACAGUCACCCUGGACAAUAUUAACCCUGCGCAGCCCAGGGUACAUGUCACCCUGGACAACAUUAACCCUGCGCAGCCCAGGGUACACAGUCACCCUGGACACCAUUAACCCUGCGCAGAUGGAAAAAGCAGUUCAUAUGGGACCUCUGCGUGAAGCUCAUGGACUUUUCUGUCGGGUACAACUUCUUUGGGUUUUUAUUCGACCAGGGAAGGCAUUCCAUGAAUCCCGGGGAUCUCAAUAUCAAAUCCUGUAGGGCUGUCGUGUAGGAUGGUUUUUGAUGUGCUUCUGUGCUUCAGUGCUUAAUUUAAAUCACUGAUUGGCUAAAGUCUGCACACCUUGUUUGCAAGGCUGCUGGUGGAAAAGAUAAUCACAAAACCAGCGGAAACCGUGGCCCUUCAGGCCUGGAGUUUGAAACACCUGAUGUUUACCAAACAAUCUUACUGUAAUAUUUAGAGGUUACAUUUCACUUUUUUGCCUGUAGUGGAAUGUGUUUUUAUACAUGGCAGAAAUGUUUGAGCGUAAAGCUUAUCCAUUUGAGGCCAGCUGUAUGCCUUUAAUGUUCCAAAGUAACGACUGUAAAUGUGGACUGGAGGACAGGGGCAGUGUGGCUGGUAAUGACUGUAAAUGUGGACUGGAGGACAGGAGCAGUGUGGCUGGUAACGACUGUAAAUGUGGACUGGAGGACAGGGGCAGUGUGGCUGGUAAUGACUGUAAAUGUGGACUGGAGGACAGGAGCAGUGUGGCUGGUAACGACUGUAAAUGUGGACUGGAGGACAGGGCAGUGUGGCUGGUAACGACUGUAAAAGUGGACUGGAGGACAGGAGCAGUGUGGCUGGUAACAGCUGUAAAUGUGGACUGGAGGACAGGAGCAGUGUGGCUGGUAACGACUGUAAAUGUGGACUGGAGGACAGGAGCAGUGUGGCUGGUAACGACUGUAAAUGUGGACUGGAGGACAGGGGCAGUGUGGCUGGUAACGACUGUAAAUGUGGACUGGAGGACAGGGGCAGUGUGGCUGGUAACGACUGUAAAUGUGGACUGGAGGACAGGAGCAGUGUGGCUGGUAACGACUGUAAAUGUGGACUGGAGGACAGGAGCAGUGUGGCUGGUAACGACUGUAAAUGUGGACUGGAGGACAGGGGCAGUGUGGCUGGUAACGACUGUAAAUGUGGACUGGAGGACAGGAGCAGUGUGGCUGGUAACGACUGUAAAGGCCGUGUUCUACGGACUAAAGAAGGUCUACGGGGAGGGGGUUUGUUUGACGCUUGUUCAUGUUACAAAUGAUAACAUUAAGCGUAGCCAAAACAUAAUGCUUCUUUCUUUAUAUCCUAUACUUUGAGUUUCAGUAGAUUAGUGUAAGAAUAAGUCAUUGUUUUUUGUCUGAGUAUUUGUGCGGCAUCUCAUUGGUGGUCUAAGGCUGGUCGUAAUGUUACAUUGACAUUAUGGAAUUUAAUUGAAGUGCAUGCAUGUGUAAAAGAAGCACUUUAAAAUGUAUUACCCUUUUUUGUUUUUGCAUUUGGAAGUCCUAAUGAGUAUUUGUUCCUGUCAGACCAUUUGCAUCACAAAGCACAUGUAUAGUUUUUAUGACCAUGUAUUAUUAUUGCUGAAUUCAUUGCAACAUAGCAUUUUAUAAAGUUGAAGGUUUGUGUUUUCUAGGGCUCUAGUUUUUUUUUUUUUUCUUUGUAUUUCUGUGGAAGUACAUCCUUAUACUGAGUUCAACCAAUAGCUUGUUAAAAAAGAAGGGUGUAGUAAUUUAUGUUAGGAACAAGUUAGGUCAUUAGUUAAUUUGGAAAUGUAAGUGAUGUACUGUAUGUCCUAUGCAAAUAAAAUGUUUUCGUGGUUCA